ACGCUGGCGGCGCACAUAAGACAUGCAAGUCGAACGAACUUAAUUGAGAGCUUGCUCUCAAAGCGGUUAGUGGCGGACUGGUGAGUAACACGUAAGCAACCUGCCUAUUAGAGGGGAAUAACAGCGAGAAAUCGUUGCUAAUGCCGCAUAUGCUGCGAGUAUCGCAUGAUACAAGCAGGAAAGGAGCAAUCCGCUAAUAGAUGGGCUUGCGUCUGAUUAGUUAGUUGGUGGGGUAACGGCCUACCAAGACGAUGAUCAGUAGCCGGACUGAGAGGUUGAACGGCCACAUUGGGACUGAGAUACGGCCCAGACUCCUACGGGAGGCAGCAGUCGGGAAUAUUGCGCAAUGGAGGAAACUCUGACGCAGUGACGCCGCGUGCAGGAAGAAGGUUUUCGGAUUGUAAACUGCUUUUAACAGGAAAGAAAAAAAUGACGGUACCUGUUGAAUAAGCUCCGGCUAACUACGUGCCAGCAGCCGCGGUAAUACGUAGUGAGCGAGCGUUAUCCGGAUUUAUUGGGUGUAAGGGGUGCGUAGACGGAAAUGCAAGUUAGUUGUGAAAUACCUCGGCUUAACUGAGGAACUGCAACUAAAACUAUAUUUCUUGAGUAUCGGAGGGGUUUGUGGAAUUCCUAGUGUAGCGGUGAAAUGCGUAGAUAUUAGGAGGAACACCGGUGGCGAAGGCGACAAACUGGACGAUAACUGACGUUGAGGCACGAAAGUGUGGGGAGCAAACAGGAUUAGAUACCCUGGUAGUCCACACCGUAAACGAUGGAUACUAGGUGUUGGCAAUGAAUAAUUGUCGGUGCCGGCGCUAACGCAAUAAGUAUCCCACCUGGGGAGUACGACCGCAAGGUUGAAACUCAAAGGAAUUGACGGGGGCCCGCACAAGCAGUGGAGUAUGUGGUUUAA
rnacentral:rRNA from 1 species